UGAGUUAAAGUUCUCUGGAUUGAACGUUUAGUUGUUAACUAGGUUUUUGUGGGAUCAAGGCCCGCUAGCUC
rnacentral:tRNA from 1 species